CUAUGAACAUGGGUGUACAAACCCAAUUCUCUCUUUAGUUUAGUUUUUACUUUUUUCUUCCUCAGUGAUCCUUUUCUGAGCAAUUCCCUCUUGAAUCUGCUAUAAGAAAUCUUUUUUUUUCUGACCACUCCAUCAAAUGUAUGCUCAUCAAAGUCACCAGUGACUUCUACAUCCUCAUAGUCAAUUGUCACUUCUCAAAUAGUAUUAGAAAAGGUGAUCACUCCCUCACGUUUGAAAUACCUUCUUCUCUGGCUUCCAGGAUGCCACACUGUCCUGGUUUCAGCCUUCAUUUGUGGUUACUCUUCAAUCUUCUUUGCCAAUUCCUCCUAAUUUCGCUAAUCACACGGAGUAGCCCAGGAUUCAGUUCUUGGAUCUCUUCUCUUUUCUGUCAACCGUCCUUCUGAGCUUACCUCAUCCACUCUCAUAGCUUUAAAUACCACUUAUACACCGAUCACCAAGUGUGUAUCUCCAGCCAAGACCUCUGACCUCCACUCCAGACUUACAUAUCUAACCUCUCACUUGACAGCUCCAUGAGGAUGUCUGUUGGGCAUCCAAACCUUCACACUCCGAAACUGAUUUAAUUUUACCUCCAAAACCUGCUCGUCCUGUUUGUCUUCUUCAUCCUUUAAGUUGCUCAGGCCGAAAACCUUUGACUCACCUUUUCCACCUCUUUUACUUUCCUGCCCCUCACUCAACCUUUCAGUCAAUUCUGGUAGGGUUUUCUGUUUUCUUCGUUUAUAGAAGUAUCUCCAUGGCCUAAAACCAUAAUUAGCACAAGCCUAUUAGCGAAGUCCUUCAAAAUACGUCCAGAAUUUGAUUAAGUCUCGCCACUUCUACUGCUACUAUCCCAGUGCAAGUCAUUUUCAUCUCAAGCCUGGAUUUUUGUUAUAGCCUCCUAAAGAGGUCUAAGUAGUUUUCUUACUUCCUUUUCUUCCUGUAGUCUGUUCUCCACAUAGCAGACGGAGUAAUCCUUUAAAUAUAAACUAGAGCACAUCAUUGUUCUUCCUGACACCCUCCAUGGUGAAGUGUCCUACUACCUCUACUUAUGUCACCUCACUGAGUGAAGUGUCUUACUUCACUUAGAGUAAAAGCCCAACGCUUUACCAUGGCCCGCAAGGCCCAGUAACUCAGGUUCUGGGAACUUCCCCACCCUCAUCUACUUCCUGCCCUCCCAGUCUGCUCAGCUAUAUUGACAUCCUGAAUGCUUCUUGAACUAGUCAGGUAACUUUCCACCUCAAGACCUUUGCAUUGGAUAUUCCUGAUUUCAAUGCUCUUUCUUCAGAUUCUUCACUACUCAUGCCCUCAACUCGUUCGCAUCUUCAAGCAGAUAUCACCAUCUCAGUAAAGCCUUCUCUGGUCAUUCCAUUUAAGUCUCCAUCACCCAGCUUCCACCCGCAGCGUUCCCCUCUCUCGGCUUAUUUUUUCCGUUGUACUUAUUACUUCCAACACACCAGACACUUUACUGAUUUUGUUUACUAUCUAUCUCCCCUACUAAGUUCUAUGAAGAAGAUAUUUUGGCAUGAUUUGUUUACUAAAGUAUCCCAAGGCCCAGAAAAGUAGUUGGCACAUUAUAGGCACUCAGUGUAUAAAGGUGCAUAUUUGAAUGAAUGAAUCGCUGGAAGGCAGAAUACAAAGGGAAAAUGUAGAAUCAUGAGGCCAACAGGGGAAGCGGGACCGUGUCCUGAGUGACUUCUAAGCCAUGUUUCUAAAGGUCAGUAGGAUGCCACUGAUACGUCGUAAGUAUGGGAUUAGUAUGUUCAGAAUCAUAUUAUUUAAAAAUCACUCUAGUAAUAGUAUGGAGGAUCAGCAGAGGGUAAGUCUAGGAGAAGCUCAGGAUUUCUGACAGAUGGUAAGGCCACUGACUGAAGUAAGGAGGAGAAAUAGUUUGGAAGGCAGAGUGUGGUAAUGGUAGGAAAUGACAAUUAUCAUUUGGGACAUUUUGAGGUAGUGGAUUAGAAGACAGUACUGAGGCCUUAACCGAAACACAGUAAAAAGAGACAAAAAGAAAAAAAAUGUAGAAGUGCUAUCAGGAAUCAUGGAGGAUGUAUUGAGAUGACAUGGUAUAUAUUUGUGGAUAGGAAAGCCAGAACAAGAUAAAGUGAGAAUGAUGGAAAAACAAUAUUAAAAAUAUGUCGGGCCAGGCACAGUGGCUUACACCUGUAAUCCCAGCACUUUGGGAGGCUGAGGAGGGAGAAUUGCUUGAGGCCAGGAGCUUGAGACCAGCCUGGGCAACCCAGCAUGACACCCCCGUCUCUUAAAAAAAAAAAAAAUUAAAAGAGAUACUGACAGAGUUUUCUGAAACUGAAAGACAGUCAAAAUUUUUCAUUCACAUGGAGAGUGUACGUUGAAUAUCAAGCAGAAAAAAUAAAAUAUAUAAAAUCUAUAGUAAGUUCUAUCACAAUGAAGCUGCAGAACAUGCAGGGUAAAAGGGAAAUGGUAAAAGCUGCCAGAAAAAAGGGAGUGUCUACAAUGGGACAAUAAUUAGGCUGGCAGUGUGCUUUCCUGUAGCAACCAUGCAGGCUGAAGGUGGGGCAGCAAUAGCUUCAAAAUGCUGCGAGAAGCGCCGCCCACUCCUUACUGUGUGUGGACUGGGUGUGGCACACUGGCAACUCUCCCUGAACGACUCUGGAUGCUGGUCUCCCUAGAAUCUCUUGGGUCUAAAGAUUGAUCUUCUUACCUCCUAUAAUUCCUGAGGUGGAUAACUAACUAGGGGGUCACAAAAUUAAUUCCACAAUCUUGUAGCAUGUCCUGAAUAGAUGUUCUGACAAUGAACGUUUUUCCAGCUUUUGGGACAUCUCCCACAAUUCUAAAAUAACAGGAAUGUCAUGCUGAACAUCCUAGUACAGUGAACAAUGUUACAUAAUUUGGGAUUUUCCUCUGCUGUUUCAUGUAUGUUUGACUUGCUUCCCAAACUGGCUUGUAAACACAUAUUACUUUUACAUUAGCUAAGUAGAAAUUUUUCAAUGUAUACUUUUAACAAUGAUAAUAAACAUUAUAUUCUUCUUCUUUAUUGAGCACGUCCUAUGAGCCAAGCUCUCUGCAAAGUGUUUUAUUCACAUUAUCUCUCAUUAACAUUAGCUGCAAGGUAAUGACUGUCACCUCCAUUUUACAGAUGAGUGAGCUGAAGCUUAGCGAGAUCAGUGACCUGUCCGGGAUCAGAUUCUGGAAUUUCCAGCAAGGCCCAAUUCCACGGAAAUCAGUGCCUCUACUUUCCCAGCCGCCUGUAGAUGUAUUAUGACUUUUGAUUGAGUUCUUCUUUCCUCUGGAGAAGGAACGGUAGAUGCAUCUGUGGACAGUUUCCCUUCAUAUGACUUGUCAGCAUUGAACACAUAACCCCUCUUUUUGCAUUACCUCGCAGAGUGUGCAGGGCUUUACCAGGGUCUAUUCUUCAGUGUCCUGCCAUGUGCUACACAGUUCAUUAUUUGCUUGAGGAAGAAGGGUAAGCCCUGAUAGUAAGGGGGUAAGGGGACAUGCUUCCCAAGAGUCACUUACUCUGUUUGUACUCUCAGUACCUUGCAGAGUGCUAGCCAAGUCAUGUGUGCUUAGUAAAACCUCAGUUAAAUCUAUAAACUUUAAGAACUUUGGAACAAAAGUAGUAGAAAAAGUAAGGGAGUUUUAGCAAGUGGAUAAAUGGCAAAAGUAAUCCUGUGUUGAAACUCUACCAGAUGAAUGUUGUUACCAAACUUCCGUAUGGUCCGCUAGGUCCAGAAAGACAUUUUUGUGGUACGUAGGUAAUAGAAGUGGCCAGAUUAGCCAUAGACAGAUCUUGUUUAGCUAUAAAGGCACAAUAAAAACUAUUGUCCAAGGCAGGGGAGAACAAUGCAUAAAAUCUUUAAUAUAUCUAUACUAGUUCUUACAGUAAUUCUUUCUUUCUAUUUUAUGCCCUUUCCAUUAUAAAAUGCUCAUUAGGGUCCAUGCCUUAGCAUGACUUUAAAACACUACAAAGUAACAAAAUUUCAAACCUCCAGAUCAGAUGAUGCUAUGUUUAAAAACAGGAAAAUUGGCCAAGGAAUGAAAAAUAUUAAUAGAAAUAAAUUUAAAACUACAGUGCUCACCACAUGAUUUUCCAAUGGUGACAGAUAUUAUUUAUGAAAUACAGCUGGAAAAUAGAUUAUUAAAACUGAAAAAUAUAAACAUAUAAUUAAUUUCACAUAGCAUAUAUCACAAUUAAUUGCAGGUGAAUUAUAGGUAAGCAUAGAACAUAAAGCAUAAUACGUUGAAUAGAAUUGUGUAAGUGUCCUUGUUGGGAAGAAGAAUAAAUAUUUUUAAAAAUG